UUAACAGUGUGACACGAAACUUUCGUCCAAAAUAUUUAUUAUAAACAAUUUUAAAGAUAUUCGAAUGAAUCGAUUUAAAUGAAGACCUUGAAUAUAACGUAACGAAUGUGAUAAUAUUAUUAUAUAAUAAUAAUAUUAUUAAGUAGAAAACGCGAAAUCAAAAAAGGAAAAAUAUUGGCCGGCUCGAAUCUUCGAGUCCACACUUAACGAGAGUGGUUUUUGUCGAAGCGAGUACACUCGUUCGUUCGAAAGCCGAUCGAAAGCAAUGAGACAGGAUCGUUCCUUCGUUUCCGAAACGGAGAAUUCAUGAAGAAAGGGAGAGAAACUAACGAAAGUAAGAAUCGAAAAUUAAAGAGUUCUUAAAUUUCCAAAUUUUUUUUUUCAAUUUUCAACACACGAAAUCUUCAGAUAUAGGUAAAGAUUUUGGAAAUUCCAAGUUUUUCUUGUUUUAUAAUUUUUUAAAUUUAGAGAAAAUAAAAAUAGGAGAAAAUAAAUCAAAAACAAAAGAAGAAAGAAAGAAGGAAUACAAAAAUUGAAAGAAUAAAUAUUCCAGAAAGGAAGGUAUGUAAGUAUAUAUGUAUAAAGUGAAAAAGAUGGUGAGAGAAAAUAUGAAAAGAGAUGAAAAGGAAAAAGAUGGUAAUAUUGCAAAAAGAAAAUAGAAGGUGAGUACGAAGAGAUUACAUCAGAGAUGAAAUCACAUGUUGGUCCAGAAAUAAAAAAAUGAAAGAUAAAAAUAUGAUGGAAAGAAUAUAAUGUAAUAUGGGACAAAGUUAUUGAAAAAUGAAAA